AUCUUAAUGAGAGUUUGAUCCUGGCUCAGGACGAACGCUGGCGGCGUGCCUAAUACAUGCAAGUAGAACGCUGAGGACUGGUGCUUGCACCGGUCCAAGGAGUUGCGAACGGGUGAGUAACGCGUAGGUAACCUACCUCAUAGCGGGGGAUAACUAUUGAAAACGAUAGCUAAUACC
rnacentral:rRNA from 1 species